rnacentral:lncRNA from 1 species
UUCAAAGUUUGAAAUGACAUAACAUCAAGAUAGGAAAUACUCAAAUAUGCUCUUCAAAAUCUUCAAAAAGUUGAGGUUUCGAUAAUUUCCACUGAAAGAUCAAAAGUAACCAAAACUAUAGGUUUCUUGGUAUCAUAAAACCAAUGAAAUUAAAUCAUCCUAGGAAAUAUGUCUACUACAAUCUUACGGACGGGAACCAGUUCAAUAGUAACAUGAGAUGGAACAAAAUUAUUCAAAGGAAUAAGUUGCUCAACAUCAUUGGCAUAAAAGAAACAACUUCAACAAAAGCAAAUAUUUCUUGAGUUGCAUCUAGCAAUUUGAAAGAAACUUUAUUUUUU